rnacentral:piRNA from 1 species
GCAGGGCUGGUAUGGCGCAUGACUUUA